UACAGAGGGGGCAAGCGUUGUUCGGAAUUACUGGGCGUAAAGGGCGCGUAGGCGGCCCGCUAAGUCGAACGUGAAAUCCCCGAGCUCAACUCGGGAACUGCGUCCGAUACUGGCGGGCUUGAAUCCGGGAGAGGGAUGCGGAAUUCCAGGUGUAGCGGUGAAAUGCGUAGAUAUCUGGAGGAACACCGGUGGCGAAGGCGGCAUCCUGGACCGGCAUUGACGCUGAGACGCGAAAGCUAGGGGAGCAAACGGG
rnacentral:rRNA from 1 species